rfam:Gossypium hirsutum cultivar TM-1 unplaced genomic scaffold scaffold413.1, whole genome shotgun sequence
UAUUAAAAAUCUCAUCUAUUUAUACUGUUAAAAACUGACUUGGCGACGGAACAACCAAAAAGUGACAUAUUACGUGCCACGUGUACCCCAUACUGAUGUACAAAGACCAAUUUUUAAAGUAGAACUAGACAGAAUUUUCAACA